UACGCAGGGGGCUAGCGUUGCUCAGAAUGACUGGGCGUAAAGGGCGCGUAGGCGGUUCGUACAGUCAGACGUGAAAUUCCCGGGCUCAACCUGGGGGCUGCGUUUGAUACGUACGGGCUUGAGUUCGGAAGAGGGUCGUGGAAUUCCCAAUAUAGAGGUGAAAUUCGUAGAUAUUAGGAAAAACACCAAUAACGAAGGCAGCGACCUGGUCCAAUACUGACGCUGAGGCGCGAAAGCGUAAAAAGCAAACAGG
rnacentral:rRNA from 1 species